AAUAAUUCCUGUUGUUUUGUAUUACAUUGUUUGAUAGGGGACCUACCUAUGAGGGAGCUAGGUUAUGAACUUUUAUUGCUACUUUAAUUAAUAACUGCUAUGUUUCAUGAGUUUACAGUGUGGAUAGAGUUAGUGUGUCUCAAUCUAGAAAGUGAUUAAAGAGAAACAGAUAAUGAUUCUAAUUACUUAGAAAUUUAACUCUGAGUCAGUUGUCACAUGGAGAAGCCAUUUUACUUCACUGUAACACUGUGCAUUUGCCAUUAUUGUGGGGUUUUUUUUUGGGGGGGGCAUAUUCUCUACACUUACAUAAGAUGGCUAUUUUAUGUAAAAUUUCAGGUAGAUUAAUAAAGGUCUAAAAAUUCAAGUGUAUAAUAAAUACUGUCUGGUAAACUACAAGUACUUCUAAGUAAAAUCAGUCUUGAGCUUGGUUUGCAAUUGUUCAUCCUUUCCUAUGUAAUCUUUUCCUUUACAACAAAAAUAUGAGCAUUUCAUUUGCUCAUCUGUUCACCAAUUGGAUAUUCAUGCAUUCCUACUGUACACCGAGCAUGAUUCUGGGCAUUGGAAAUGGCGUGGUGAAUCAGAGAGUUUUUCGGCUAUGAGGCAAGCACCCCUACCAGGGACUGAACCUGCACCCCCAGCGUUGGAAGAUGAAGUUGUCACCGCUGGACCGCCAGACAAGUCCAACUAGAUAUAUUCCUUUGGAUUUAAAGAUAGGUGAAAAACAGGAAGGAAUCACUGGAAGCAAGAAUGGAGAUCUCACAGUGAGUUUUGGAGGCCAGGGGAGAGCCUGUAACCCGUGGGUAUUUUUUCUUGCCUAAAGGCUUUCACAUUCCACCAAAGAAACUGCAUAUGGUAGUGUUGUUGGGGAGCCCAUUCAACAGACUUAUGGAAAAAUCUAUGGGAUCAUUCUAUUGCAAAUUACUCAGUUGCCAGAAUUCCUUUCUAGAACAAAGUAGAAUAGAAAUGCAUAAACAGGCCUCUGGGUCACCUCACAGAAAGACUGGCGUUCACGGCAGCAUCAAGUCACUGACUUCCCUCAAAGGAGAAGCAGCAAGCUGGCGUGGGACUACAGACCCUGGGGGAGAGCUGGAGGAGAGGUCCCAAAGAUGUCAUCGCCAGGCUACUCAGUGCCCCCAAAUCAGAAUUUCCUGGAAUGUCAGAUGAAAGGAAAACUUCAGUGCCCAUCAGAUAAGUUUCUCAAAGAAGAAGUCAAUGAAGAGGUAUAAGAUGAAUGCUCUGGACUAAUUGGAUAAAAUAAAAUAUGUGCAACAGCAUGCUUCUCCAGAGUCUUAAAAGGUAUUCUGCACUUAAAAGCAAAUAUUCAGUGCUCUGCAUGCAUUUAAAAUAUGAAUAAUUACUAUAGAAGAAUGUUUGAUUUUUAUGUCAUGAGAUUUUGUAAUAUUUUAUGCUUUAAAAAUGUUUACAGGAUUUUAAAAAUAAUUUUAUUGUUUUAAUCACUAAAAAAUGAAUGGAAACACAAAAAUUGUAUCUAUGAUUUAUAAAUAAUAGUGAAAAAUAUUUUUUCCUAAAUGUUGACAUUUAACUAUUUCAUUCUUAUAAUUUGUGAAUUUCCUUGUUUGUUCUCUAAUUUGUCAUUAAAUAUUGGAAUUCCUCUUUAAGCUGUAUACUUGUAAAUAAGGGAAUGCUCCCUAAAAUCAAAAGGAUGCCCUUGACUAUUAUUUUAUUGCUGGUUCUGAUACGUUCACAACUGUAGACUGUAUCAGUUUAGUUCAGCCACUCAGUCAUGUCCGACCCUUUGCAACACCAUGGACUGCAGCAUGCCAGGCCUCCCUGUCCAUCACCAAUUCCCGGAGCUUGAGUAAACUC